UUGUCGGACGUCUUGGCUCCUCGUUCAGUGAGACAGGGUCUAGGUCUUGGCUGGUUCAGUGAGACAGGGUCUAGGUCUGCUGGUUCAGUACCACUACGUCUUGGCUGGUUCAGUGUGACAGGGUCUAGGUCUGCUGGUUCAGUACCACUACGUCUUGGCUGGUUCAGUGUGACAGGGUCUAGGUCUGCUGGUUCAGUACCACUACGUCUUGGCUGGUUCAGUGUGACAGGGUCUAGGUCUGCUGGUUCAGUACCACUACGUCUUGGCUCCUCGUUCAGUGAGACAGGGUCUAGGUCUGCUGGUUCAGUACCACUACGUCUUGGCUGGUUCAGUGUGACAGGGUCUAGGUCUGCUGGUUCNNNNNNNNNNAAUGUGGUAUAUUAAUUAAGUUAAGUUUGGUGUACUUAGUGAAGUGUUACUCGUUUGAAAGGAGGUCCCUGUAUGAAAUUAUUUUCUUAAAACCAGGGGUUGGAACCGGUUCCGGGGAACGAAAACGACCUACGCUGUUCCCGAACAGAACUGCUAUUUUAAAAGCUUGAGAACUGGUUAAUAAUAAUAACGUUUCUUUUUAACAUUCCAGGCAUUUUUUUACAGUCCCAUAAAAAACGUAACCAUAAAGUGCCUAUGCAAAGCCCUCAUUCUGUCACUUGGAAAGUUAUUCCAGCAUCUUCCUGCCAGUUGAAGAUCUUUGUGUGUCUAGGCUACUUGCCCCUCCCCCUCCGAAGCGUAGGCUACUUGCCCCACCCCUUGCGAAGCAUAGGCUACUUGCCCCUCCCCCUCCAAAGCAUAGGCUACUGAAAACCCUCCACCUCCUAAGCAUAGGCUACUGUAGACCCUCCCCCUCUGAAGCAUAGGCUACUGUAGCCCCU
rnacentral:lncRNA from 13 species